UGUCUUCAGGGCGGGGUGUGAGUCCCCACCGGUGGUCAAAGCCCACUAACAGUUUUUUCUGCUGAAUCGGUGAAAUUCCGAUGCCGACGGUAAUAGUCCGGAUGAAAGAAGAU
rnacentral:ncRNA from 1 species